UCUUUGGUGGCUCAGACGGUAAAGUGUCUGCCUGCAAUGCGGGAGACCCGGGUUCGAUUCCUGGGUUGGGAA
rnacentral:tRNA from 1 species